UCCCGUACGUGUCGCGACGAGCUCAGAAUGUUGGAGUUAGCCAUGCUGUCCACUAGCUUCGAAAAGUGGAGGUUGUUAUUGAACAUAAACGGGAGUAAACGCUACAGAUAAAUGGACACGUUUGUUACACCGAGCCUGGCUUGAAAUCUUGCUAAAACGUUGGAGUUUGUGUUGCGAUAUUAAACUGGAUGUCACGCUCGCCUACGUUAUCUCUGCUGUUUGCGGUUACGGUGUUUGAGAUCUUGGCUUCUCUUGUCUGUUCAGAUCAGUGACCAUCUAAGGUCGUUUGAGCCGACACCAUCAGACAACAUCAGUGUUCAUCAACAGUCAAUGACAUGACAGUGGUACAGGAUGACGACAGUAGGACACCAGUGGAAUGAUAUCUGGGCUCCACUUGAUCAGUGCUACUUCAACCAACGCCACAUUCUUCUGCCUACAGAAGGUUGUACUUGAGGGUUACGUUGUUAUCAAGACCCACACAAUUAAAUUAAAAAUGUAUUUUGUUUCCAUUGCACUUACAUUUUACAGUUAUCUUUUAAAAAUAAUGUUUCGUCUAAGUAUAUCGUACAUUUGCAGAUGUUAUUUGCAGGUAAAACAUGUUUCUUUUUGGGCCCAUUUUAGUGUUUUUGCACUGUUAUUGUAUUUUGUAACAUGUUGCAUGUUAAAACUAGUUAAUUAAAAUGUAGCUUUUCUUAUCAGAUGUGGAACAGCUGGCAGGUCGGUGUAUUUUUCAUGAACAAAUCUUGUUAAUAGUUGGUGCAAAACAACUUGACAGCAAAGAAAAAAAACCACGGCAGAAUCUGUAAACUGAUAUGGAGAUGAUUUAUUAAUGGUUCCUCAUUGAGCAGAUAAAGGUCUAAGGAAACACGUCUUUUAUGUACACAAGAUUUCAUUCCUGUUUCGCCAGAUGCUGUGGUGCCUCCAGUGUCAGACAGCAAACCUUGUUAAGCCUUCAGCAGAGCAGAGAGCAGUUUUUCCACUGCUGUUUUUCCAUGCGGCCUUCUCUACAUGGUUCUAAAAACCUGCAAUAAAAUAUCACAGUCGUCUCAUUGGUAUUACAUGAGGAGGUCUCCUUGAUCCCUCCCCAGAGGGCUUCCAACCUGCAGGACCACCCAAAAGCUGCCAUGCGAAACAAAGACUCACCCUUCAUUCAUUCUUUUGUGAUUUCCCAGUGUAACGGAAUGACUGGCAAGUUUUGUCUAAUUCCUACCACCUCAGUGGGUCUGCAGCAGCAGAAUGUGAGAGCCAUUCAUUGAGAAAGUUAAUUCUGCCAUGAAAGCUUUGUGUAUUGGCUGUAAUUAGGAUUCAUAAUUGAUGUAGAAUUUUUUGAACAAAUGACUAAUAUAGUAUAUGAUAAUAAAGUAACUCAUAACACUAGUGGUUAUACUGAAUGAGCAUGUUCAAAAUUUCUUGUGUUGCUUUUGAUUCAACCUAGUUUAUUACUUUGGACUAUUUUGGCCUAACCUUUAGUUUUCUACAACAAUUUUUAUUCUAUUUUUCCUUUCUGUAACUCACUUUAUGGUAUUUUAGCAUAUGUUCAUGUUAUCUUGUAGUUUCUUUUAUGUACUGCUAACUUUUAGUGUGUUUCUGGCCUAAAUUAUAUGUAGCAUUGGCUCUUUGUCUAAAUUAAAUUUUUUUUUUCAGUAUUGUAUGUUUCUUUGAGAUCAAUAAUAAUAAUAAUUUACUACAGGGUUUUUUUUUUUGGUAACCAGAAGUCUCUUGUUUUAACUGUGGGGGGAAAAAAGCUGGAGAAAAGGAAACUUUUGUCGUCAGGUUUGUUAAAUGCUUUAUAAAAGCAUAAAAGUUGGCACAGUUUUACCAGGGAUUUACUUAUAUUGUUAAAGAAAUAGUUAUCCGGGGUCCCGGCCCCAGAUAAGUGGUUGAUGAUGGAUGGAUGGAUGGUUAAUAAAAUACAACACAUUUAUAUAGUACUUAACUGUAGACUUGUGUAUCGUAGCACGGACAGCUAGCAAUAACCUACCGCCCCUCAGAAAUGUUUGAACACCCCUGUUUUAAACUGGUUUUACCUGGUGUAGGAACAACACAACUUUCUGCUGCACAUAAUUCUGUCAUGUUGCCUUUUCAUUCAUACAUCUGACAGAAAACUUGUAAAGCCCUGGGCUGUAUUUUCUGUUCCAACGAAAAGACAAGUGCUUACGAACGCGGUCUGAAACCGACGUUGUUGAAUUGAAUAGAAAUUAUAGGAGAUGCAUAAAA